GCGAGGCCGAGCCUCAGGACUGUCUCCUCAGGCUUCUUGGAGGCCACCAGCAGACAACAGCUCAGGACGCUGAAAAUGAUGCGUCGAGUGAAGGGCCAGCAACCCAGCUCCAGUUGCAGCACCGCGGGAUCGACACGCUCUAUUCCCCUGCACCUGAGGGGCCCAGUGUUCCAAAAAUGUCAGGACUGGUCUGAACUGUGAAACCUGAAGGAACCGCCCCUCCGGGAGGGAUUGGCGUCCUCGGGAGGGUGAAGCUCCUGUCCAGGAGGAUUGUUUCAGCAUCAGUGCAGAAGGAAGAGGAGCCAAGAGGGAGCCUUUGGUAGUGGGUUUUGUCAUACAUUGAUAUGAAUCAGCCAUAGAUUUACACGUAAGAAUCCCGCGUCUUAUCUUAUCGUUCAGCAACAACCUUUCAUCUUGGGGGCUCGUCCGGGAUCCUCCAGGACAAGAUGGGAGCUAACAAUUCCAGCCUCACUCCUUUGAACUGUAUCCUGAAAAACUGGGAUAGAGUUGAUUCCCAGGGCUUAAAGAAGACACACCUGGUCUUCCUAUGUGAUACUGCAUGGCCGCGGUACCCACUGGAGGACGGCGAACGGUGGCCAGUUGGAAGGUCUCUUAAGCAUUAACAGAACUCCGGGAGACGACUCCUGACCCAGCCUCUGAAUCCAGCAAGCCUCUAUUUGAGCCAGGAACCGAGGUCCUCAUAAAAACAUUGGGAUCUGGGGGCCCAUCCCUUGAGCCCCUCUGGGAAGGCCCUUACCAGAUGGGCCUGAUAAUCUAUGUGAGCCUACUUCUGCUGACUCCAAAAAUCCUGAGUCUGCCGUUUGAUCCUCGGGACAAUGCCUUCCUGUCCUGGGCUCACUCCUAUGCUGCAUUCCACAAUCGGUCUAACUGCUGGGUCUGCGGAGCACUCCCCACUUCAUCGGUGGAAGGCUUCCCGUGGUGGACAUCUCCACUUGAAGGAAAAGACUUUCUCCAAGUCUGCGAAUACCUUCAACAACAAUCACAUGUGAUGCCUCUCCUUAAACUGAUGACAUCUAACAACCUUAAGAUGGACUGAUGUAACUAUGUAACAACCUUAAGAUGGACUGAAGUAACUAUGUGACUUUUCAUUUUGAUUUUAACUUGGUUUUAAUGACUAUUUUGCCUUACAUCUGUAACUAUAUAAUGGGGUUUUCUAACCAUCUAAAAGCUUUUAAUUUACAAAUAGUUGUCCGAGUGCCACAGCCUCCUCCAACUAUUACUUGGAGCCCCUGGAUCAGACAUCCUCACUAUGAGGAUUAGGAGAAUAUGUUGCCUCACCAAUUUAGGGACAACGCCCCUUGUCAGCUUGGAAGCAGUUAUGGAAUGAGAACGACACCCCUUUUCCCUAGGCAACAUAAUUCUCCUAAAAGAAAAGGGGGGAAUGAGAGUCAUUUCCUAGGCAAGUUGAUAAGAAGUCUAGGGAUCCCCAAGGAGAGAGAGGUCUGGGAUAUUCAAGGAGGAAAAAAGGACAAACUUUUUUACUUUUUUUCCUCUACAUUCCUUAGGAUUAUACAACAAUAAUGUAUCCUGCCUGAGGACAGUCUAAACCCUCUGGCUAAUUCUGUUAUCUUAAAACAUAAAUUAUGGGAGUAGGUCUGGUCUUUACAAGGAUGUAUCCUGCCUGAGGACAAUCUUUGGAUUAAACCUUCUGGCCAACUCUGUUAUCUUAAAAUGUAAAUUAUGGGAGUGGGUCUGGUGAGGUCUUUACAACCUCCAGACAUUCUUUGGAUUCAUUGGAGAGUAUAUAACUCCAUUGCUAACCCUAGCAAAGGGGGUACUCUUUUGCCCCCUUCUGAUGCCUAUGUCAGAAGCUUUCUCUAUCUCCUUUAUACUUUAAUAAAACUUUAUUACACACACACACACACACACACACACACACACAAAACAAAACCUUGAGUUAACCAAUACAUUUCUUUUUCUUAUGGAAAUGUUGUCUUAAGCUAUGACUAUCUUCAAGUUGGUUCGCCAAAUGGCCCAACCUACUUACUCAGAUUGUGAGUGACUAUAUAACAAUAAUGUAUCCUGCCUGAGGACAGUCUUUGGAUUAAACCCUCUGGCUAAUUCUGUUAUCUUAAAACAUAAAUUAUGGGAGUAGGUCUAGUCUUUACAAGGAUGUAUCCUGCCUGAGGACAAUCUUUGGAUUAAACCUUCUGGCCAACUCUGUUAUCUUAAAAUGUAA